UUUUUUUUAAGAAGUUAGUUGAUAUUGACAUUUGGUGGCUGUUGAAUGGUUGUUUUUAUAUUUUUGUGUGUAUUGAUGAAGAAGUUAACUCCUUUGGUUUUGAGAAAAAAGAGGUUGACUCCUUUGGUUUUAGGGAAAAAAAAGCUUUUGGUCUGGGUUAUACAUGUUAGUAGAUGCGAACAGGUGAGGGUGAAAUAAAAAUAUGCAAUUGAAGGAGUUGUUUUUUUUUAUUUGUUGUAUUAGGUAAAAAAGGUUUAGUUCUUUUUUUCCGAAGAUGCAUGGUAAAACCACAUUUUCACUGAUACAAGGGGAAACUUUUGGCAGCAGUAGAGAGUUUUAUGCAAUUCAUGAAAGUGAGACAUAGGUAGAACAUAUAAACCUGUCAAAUUAAGUGCCAGCAGACGCGGUGAAACUUAAGGGUUAGUUUUUUUUUAAAAAGCAGAAAGCGUGUAGAAGUAAUAUAUUUUAAAAAGUAAAUAGAAUUUUUUUGGUAAUUGUUGAAUGUUAAGAUGAAAAAAGGAAUUCUUUAUGUGAAAACAAUUUAUUUUAAAUAUUUUUUAUGGGAAGACAAAUGUAUUUUUUAUAUGUUCUCCUCUAAGUAAAAUAAAAAUGUUGAAUUCUUAAACACGAAGGUUCUUGGAGCAAACAGGAUUAGAGACCCUGGUAGUCGAAACAGUAAAUGAAAUUUCUUUUGUUGGAUAAUAAGUUAUGAAAUUGCUUGAGUAGUAUGAUCGCAAGAUUAAAAUUCAAAAAACUUGGCUGUUCAUUGUAAAUUAGAGGAGCGUGUCGCUUAAUUCGAUAAUCCGCGAGUUACCUUACCGAAGCUUGUUUUCAGGUGUUGCAUGGCCGUCGUCAAUUUAUGUUUUAAACAAAAAUAAAUUUAAUCCUAUAAAGGUUGAAGUCAGGUAUUAUUGCCCUUAUGUUUCGGGGUUAGAUGCGCUACAUUUUUUUUUUUUAAUUUUAAAGAAAAAGUCCGGAUUGUUUUUGAAAAAAAAUAAGUAAGUGGAAUUUAAUAGUAAUUGAAAAGUAGAGCGUUUCAAUGAAUUUACCGCAAUGUUAGUACAAAUUGCCCGUCGCCWCUAUUGAAGUAGAUAAAAUAGAGUAAGUCGUAACAUAGUAAGGGUGGGGGAACUGGCCCUUGGAAAUAAGAUUAAAAAUAUAAA
rnacentral:rRNA from 1 species